rnacentral:lncRNA from 1 species
CAUGAACACGGAUCACUGCAGCUUCGACUUCCUGGCUCAAGCAAUCCUUCCACUUCCUGGCUCAAGCAAUCCUUCCACCUCAGCCUCCUAGUAACUGCAUCCUGGGCAAUAUCCCCAGCUGAAAGAUUACGCUUCCCAGCCUUCCUUGCAGCUAGACGUAGCCAUAUGACAAAAUGACGCCCAAUGAAGCAUACAUAGAAAAGUCAUGUGAGACUUCUGGAAAAGCUUCUGUAAAAGUGAGGAGCAGACACCCUUUUCUUUUUCUUCUCCUUUCUCUUGCUGUUGGCCUGGAAUGUGGACCUGAUGGAUGGAGCUCUGGCAAUCAUCUUGGAGUAUGAAGUGACCUUAAGGAUGAACAGAAAAGAAAAUGAGCCUGGGCCUUUAAUGACACAGUGGAGCUGCUCCCAGCUUGGCUACCUUCCUCUUAGUCUGCUUUUAUAAGAAAAUAUAUAUAUAUCUUGUUUAAG